rnacentral:lncRNA from 1 species
CAACUACCCUUGAAAGAAGGCUAUCCUUGGUUAGUCCAAGGCGAGGAGGGACCAGGGGGUGGGGGGUUGCUGGUUUCUCUGCAUCCUCAACAUUUUUUGAUAAGAGUAACUGACACCUUCUGCAUCUCGUUGAGGUGCUCUGCAAAUGCGGUCGGUAGCCACGCUAGUCACUCCCACUUCCACUCAAAUUACAGCCCUAAAUUCCACUUGGAUUCAGAUUCUGAGGUUGUCCCUCUUCCCAGGUGAAUUCUUGUCCUCACCUUCCCUGUGACAUUAGUGGCAAUGCCCCUUAUUAUCAAACUCCAGAAUAUCAAGUUUUGGCCCCAGGAGGCUACCCCUGGAUUCUAACUCAUUGUAUUUUGUCUCCCAAAGCAUUUUCUACAUUUAAAACCUUUUUUUUUUUUGUCUGACAUGUAUUAAUUUCUCACUCAUCAACAACAUUUUGUUCUAAUAUGUAUUAUCUUUUUAUAAUACUUACCUUACAGUAAGAUUUCCAGAAUUGCCAGAAAUGCAAAUAUUUGUUGCAUGUUUACUUGUUCUGCUAAUCUCAUUCUUGUCAGUACCAGGGGGCUUGUAUCGUGGCAUCUGUUAAUAUGGCUACGAAUAUGCUUUGCAGUUUCUCUGCCUGGAAUACAAUUUUGGUUUUCAACUAACAAACGCUUUCUCAUUUUUCAAGAUUCAUCCCAGAUAUGGCCUCUACUUAGAAUUCUCUGAUUUUCAGUAAUUUGAAAAUCAAAGAGCAGUAAAAAUUUCCAUUCUCAAAACAUUUACAAAACAUUUGUAAAUGCCAAAAAAGAAAAGAAGAAAACUUCAGGAUGCAAAAAAAAAAUGCACUUAUAGUAUAUGGGGUCCACAAAGCACAUCACAACUACUGCCCUUCUACAGAGACAUAGACGUUCAUAGUGUAGAAAUCUCCUUUGCUUUGUACCUGUUUUGCUGCCUGCUGAUAGUCUCACUAAUCUUUAAAUGCGUGAUAUGAGCANNNNNNNNNNUUUCUUUCUUUCUUUUUUUUUUUUCCUGGAGAGUCAGCUGUUAAAUAUUUUUCUGGCAUACCAUUGGCCUUAACCAGAUAUCUGCCUAGAAAAUUAUUAGGUCUGUAUAUGUAAACAAUGUUUACAUCAAAUAAUUGGAAGUUUCGUACUGAAAUGUGCUUAUUAGACAUGUUAGUAAUUCAAUCCGCCCGAGGGGAAGAGGAGUUUUAAAGGACUCAGGAUGGAAGUCAAGCCUGAUGAAAUCAGUGACAAG